UACGUAGGGAGCAAGCGUUGUCCGGAUUUAUUGGGCGUAAAGAGCUCGUAGGCGGCUUAGCAAGUCAGAUGUGAAAACUCCAGGCUCAACCUGGAGACGCCAUUUGAUACUGCUAUGGCUUGAGUUCGGUAGGGGUAAGCGGAAUUCCUGGUGUAGCGGUGAAAUGCGCAGAUAUCAGGAGGAACACCGAUGGCGAAGGCAGCUUACUGGGCCGAUACUGACGCUGAGGAGCGAAAGCGUGGGGAGCGAACAGG
rnacentral:rRNA from 1 species